rnacentral:rRNA from 1 species
AUUGAACGCUGGCGGCAUGCUUUACACAUGCAAGUCGAACGGCAGCGCGGGCUUCGGCCUGGCGGCGAGUGGCGAACGGGUGAGUAAUACAUCGGAACGUGCCCAGUAGUGGGGGAUAGCUCGGCGAAAGCCGGAUUAAUACCGCAUACGACCUGAGGGUGAAAGCGGGGGAUCUUCGGACCUCGCGCUAUUGGAGCGGCCGAUGGCAGAUUAGCUAGUUGGUGGGGUAAAGGCCUACCAAGGCGACGAUCUGUAGCUGGUCUGAGAGGACGACCAGCCACACUGGGACUGAGACACGGCCCAGACUCCUACGGGAGGCAGCAGCGGGGAAUUUUGGACAAUGGGCGAAAGCCUGAUCCAGCAAUGCCGCGUGUGUGAUGAAGGCCUUCGGGUUGUAAAGAACUUUUGGCGGGAACGAAAAGGACUGUGCCAAUACCACGGUUCGAUGACGGUACCCGCAGAAUAAGCACCGGCUAACUACGUG